rnacentral:rRNA from 1 species
GGAUUAGGCAUGCAAGUCGAACGAGAACGGCUUCUUCGGGAGCCUAGUAAAGUGGCGAACGGGUGAGUAACGCAUAGACAACCUGCCCUUGAGAUGGGAAUAACUCCUCGAAAGGGGAGCUAAUACCCAAUAAUGCCCGAGCGCAUAAGUGUUCGGGCCAAAGAUAGCCUCUGAUUUAAGCCUUCGCUCAAGGAGGGGUCUAUGUCCUAUUAGCUUGUUGGUGGGGUAACUGCCUACCAAGGCUACGAUGGGUAGCCGGCCUGAGAGGGUGACCGGCCACACUGGGACUGAGACACUGCCCAGACUCCUACGGGAGGCUGCAGUCGAGAAUCUUCCGCAAUGCGCGCAAGCGUGACGGAGCGACGCCGCGUGGGCGAAGAAGGCCUUCGGGUUGUAAAGCCCUGUUGCCUGCUAUGAAUCACUGGUGGUGAAUAGCCAUCCAGUGUGACGGAAGCAGGAGAGGAAGCACCGGCUAAAUACGUGCCAGCAGCCGCGGUAAUACGUAUGGUGCGAACGUUGUUCGGAUUCACUGGGCAUAAAGAGCGCGUAGGCGGUGCGGCAAGUCUGAUGUGAAAGCCCUCGGCCUAACCGAGGAACUGCAUCGGAUACUGCCGGACUAGAGUGCAGGAGGGGAGAGUGGAAUUCCUGGUGGAGCGGUGAAAUGCGUAGAUAUCAGGAGGAACGCCGGUGGCGAAAGCGACUCUCUGGUCUGCAACUGACGCUGAGGCGCGAAAGCCAGGGGAGCAAACGGGAUUAGAUACCCCGGUAGUCCUGGCUGUAAACGAUGGGCACUAAGUAGAGGGGUUUU